GACGAACGCUGGCGGUGUGCUUAACACAUGCAAGUCGAACGGUAAGGCCCUUUCGGGGGUCCACGAGUGGCGAACGGGUGCGUAACACGUGAGUAACCUGCCCUCAUCUCUGGGAUAACAGUCGGAAACGGUUGCUAAUACUGGAUAUGAGCUUGCAAGGCAUCUUGUGGGUUGGAAAGUUUUUUUUGGUUGGGGAUGGACUCGCGGCCUAUCAGCUUGUUGGUGAGGUAGUGGCUCACCAAGGCUUCGACGGGUAGCCGGCCUGAGAGGGCGACCGGCCACAUUGGGACUGAGAGAAGGCCCAAACUCCUACGGGAGGCAACUGUGGGGAAUAUUGCACAAGGAACGGAAGUCUGAUGCAGCAACGCCGCGUGCGGGAGGACGGCCUUAGGGUGGUAAACCGCUUUCAAUUGUGACGAAGCUUUUUGUGACGGUAGCAGUAGAAAAAGCACCGGCUAACUACGUG
rnacentral:rRNA from 1 species